UGGGGAAUAUUGCACAAUGGGCGCAAGCCUGAUGCAGCGACGCCGCGUGAGGGAUGGAGGCCUUCGGGUUGUAAACCUCUUUCGCCAGUGAAGCAGGCCAUCUUCUUUGUGGGGUGGUUGACGGUAGCUGGAUAAGAAGCGCCGGCUAACUACGUGCCAGCAGCCGCGGUAAUACGUAGGGCGCGAGCGUUGUCCGGAAUUAUUGGGCGUAAAGAGCUCGUAGGCGGCUGGUCGCGUCUGUCGUGAAAUCCCCUGGCUUAACUGGGGGCUUGCGGUGGGUACGGGCCUGCUUGAGUGCGGUAGGGGAGACUGGAAUUCCUGGUGUAGCGGUGGAAUGCGCAGAUAUCAGGAGGACCACCGGUGGCGAAGGCGGGUCUCUGGGCCGUUACUGACGCUGAGGAGCGAAAGCGUGGGGAGCGAACAGG
rnacentral:rRNA from 1 species